UAACAAAAACAUGGUUUUUUGAUUAUAAUUUAAGAUUAGUUCUGCACACUGAAUAGGAAUUUAAAGAGCUGCAGUAUAUUAACUGUGCGAAGGUAGCAAAAUCAUUUGUUUAAUAAAUUUAAACUGGGAUGAAAGAGCUGAUGAGAUGUAGACUGUCUCAUUAUAAUUAUUUGAAAUUAGUUUUUAGGUUAAAAUUCCUAGAUUUUAUUAUUAGACGAGAAGACCCUAUAGAAUUUUAUUAAGGUAUGAUUUUUUUUAUUUUAGAUUUUUUAUUUAUGAAUUUGUUUUUUAAUUUGGUUGGGAGGAUUAUUAAAUUUGUUUAACUUUAAUAUUAAUUGAAGACAAUGAUUUUUGGUUUUUUGAGUUUUUAAGAAUUAAUAGAUUAAAUUACCUUAGGGAUAACAGCGUAAUAUUUUUGGAAAGAUCAUAUUGAUAAGAAUGUUUGCGACCUCGAUGUUGAAUUAAGAUAAAAAUUAAAUGUAGAAGUUUAAUAUUUGGGUCUGUNCGACCUUUGAAAUCUUACGUGAUCUGAGUUC
rnacentral:rRNA from 1 species